rfam:Fukomys damarensis contig151895, whole genome shotgun sequence.
GGGGCUUUAGCUCAGUGGUUCCAGAGCCUGCCUCACAAGCACAAGGACCCAGGUUCAAUCCCUGGUACCCCCC